rnacentral:rRNA from 1 species
CCUACGGGAGGCAGCAGUGGGGAAUAUUGCGCAAUGGGCGAAAGCCUGACGCAGCGACGCCGCGUGAGGGAUGAAGGUCUUCGGAUCGUAAACCUCUGUCAGCAGGGAAGAACGGUCACUGUGCUAAUCAGCAGUGAAUUGACGGUACCUGCAAAGGAAGCAUCGGCUAACUCCGUGCCAGCAGCCGCGGUAAUACGGAGGGUGCGAGCGUUAAUCGGAAUUACUGGGCGUAAAGCGCUCGUAGGCGGUAUGUCAAGUCAAGGGUGAAAUCCCCGCGCUCAACGUGGGAACUGCCUUUGAAACGGGCAAACUGGAGUGUGUGAGAGGAUAGUGGAAUUCCAGGUGUAGGAGUGAAAGCCGUAGAGAUCUGGAGGAACAUCAGUGGCGAAGGCGACUAUCUGGCACAUAACUGACGCUGAGGAGUGAAAGCGUGGGUAGCAAACAGGAUUAGAUACCCGAGUAGUC